rnacentral:rRNA from 1 species
GAUGAACGCUGGCGGCGUGCCUAAUACAUGCAAGUCGAACGCUGGAACUCUAGCUUGCUCGCUUGAAGGAGUGGCGAACGGGUGAGUAAUACAUAAGCAACCUACCCACGAAGACUGGGAUAAUCUCUGGAAACGGGGACUAAUACCGGAUAGGUAAUCGGAAGGCAUCUUCUGAUUAUUAAAGGUUAAAAACACUGUUGGAUGGGCUUAUGGCGCAUUAGUUAGUUGGUGAGGUAACGGCCCACCAAGACGAUGAUGCGUAGCCGGCCUGAGAGGGUGAACGGCCACAUUGGGACUGAGACACGGCCCAGACUCCUACGGGAGGCAGCAGUAGGGAAUUUUCGGCAAUGGGGGAAACCCUGACCGAGCAACGCCGCGUGAGUGAUGACGGCCUUCGGGUUGUAAAGCUAUGUUGUAAGGGAAGAACGGCAGAUAGAGAAUAUCUAAAUGACGGUACCUUACCAGAAAGCCACGGCUAACUACGUG